GACGAACGCUGGCGGCGUGCCUAAUACAUGCAAGUAGAACGCUGAAGAGAGGAGCUUGCUCUUCUUGGAUGAGUUGCGAACGGGUGAGUAACGCGUAGGUAACCUGCCUUGUAGCGGGGGAUAACUAUUGGACACGAUAGCUAAUACCGCAUAACAAUGGAUGACACAUGUCAUUUAUUUGAAAGGGGCAAUUGCUCCACUACAAGAUGGACCUGCGUUGUAUUAGCUAGUAGGUGAGGUAAUGGCUCACCUAGGCGACGAUACAUAGCCGACCUGAGAGGGUGGUCGGCCACACUGAGACUGAGACACGGCCCAGACUCCUACGGGAGGCAGCAGUAGGGAAUCUGCGGCAAUGGGGGCAACCCUGACCGAGCAACGCCGCGUGAGUGAAGAAGGUUUUCGGAUCGUAAAGCUCUGUUGUAAGUCAAGAACGGGUGUGAGAGUGGAAAGUUCACACUGUGACGGUAGCUUACCAGAAAGGGACGGCUAACUACGUG
rnacentral:rRNA from 1 species